rnacentral:rRNA from 1 species
AAUAUUGGACAAUGGGGGCAACCCUGAUCCAGCCACGCCGCGUGUGUGAAGACGGUCUUCGGAUUGUAAAGCACUUUAAGUUGGGAGGAAGGGCUUUAGGUUAAUACUCUGAAGUUUUGACGUUACCAACAGACUAAGCACCGCCUAACUCUGUGCUAGCAGCCGCGGUAAUACAAAGGGUGGAAGCGUUAAUCGGAAUUACUGGGCGUAAAGCGCACGUAGGUGGUGCAGUAAGAUGGGUGUGAAAUCCCCGGGCUUAACCUGGGGACUGCUUUCAUAACUGCUGAGCUAGAGUACGGUAGAAGGUAGUGGAAUUUCCUAUGUAGCGGUGAAAUGCGUAGAUAUAGAGAGGAACACCAGUGGCGAAGGCGACUACCUGGACUGAUACUGACACUGAGGUGCGAAAGCGUGGGGAGCAAAC